AUGCAAUCAGGUUUCAGAGCUGGUCAUGGGUGCAGCAUAGCCACGCUCAAGGUCCUAAACGACAUCAUAACUGCCAUCGAUAAGAGACAUUACUGUGCAGCCAUAUUCAUCGUCCUGUCCAAGGCUUUCGACUCUGUCAAUCACCACGUUCUUAUUGGCAGACUUGACAGCCUUGGUUUCUCAAAUGAUUGUCUCGCCUGGUUUACCAACUACUUCUCUGAUAGAGUUCAGUGUGUCAAAUCGGAGGACCUGCUGUCCGGACCUCUGGCAGUCUCUAUGGGUGUGCCACAGGGUUCAAUUCUCGGGCCGACUCUCUUCUCUGUAUACAUCAAUGAUGUUGCUCUUGCUGCUGGUGAUUCUCUGAUCGACCUCUACGCAGAUGACACCAUUCUGUAUACUUCUGGCCCCUCUUUGGACACUGUGUUAACUAACCUCCUGGGUGUCUGGUUAGACUGUAAACUCUCCUUCCAGACUCAGAUUAAGCAUCUCCAAUCUAAAAUUAAAUCUAGAAUCGGCUUCCUAUAUCGCAACAAAGCAUCCUUCACUCAUGCUGCCAAACAUACCCUCAUAAAACUGACCAUCCUACCAAUCCUCGACUUCGGUGAUGUCAUCUACAAAAUAGCCUCCAACACUCUACUCAACAAACUGGAUGCAGUCUAUCACAGUGCCAUCCGUUUUGUCACCAAAGCCCCAUACACUACCCACCAUUGCGACCUGUACGCUCUCGUUGGUUGGCCCUCGCUUCAUACUCGUCGCCAAACCCACUGGCUACAGGUUAUCUACAAGUCUCUGCUAGGUAAAACCCCGCCUUAUCUCAGCUCACUGGUCACCAUACCAGCACCCACUCGUAGCACGCGCUCCAGCAGGUAUAUCUCACUGGUCACCCCCAAAGCCAAUUCCUCCUUUGGUCGUCUUUCCUUCCAGUUCUCUGCUGCCAAUGACUGGAACAAACGGCAAAAAUCUCUGAAGCUGGAGAUUCAUAUCUCCCUCACUAGCUUUAAGCAUCAGCUGUCAGAGCAGCUCACAGAUCCCUGCACCUGUACAUAG
rnacentral:lncRNA from 8 species